rfam:Myotis brandtii contig266326, whole genome shotgun sequence.
GCCUCUUUGGCUCAGUGGAUAGAGCAUCAGGCCUAUGGACUGAAGGGUCCUGAGUUCGAUUCUUGGUCAGGGCA